GGUUAACCGUAUAGGGGAGCCGCAGGGAAACCGAGUCUUAACUGGGCGUUAAGUUGCAGGGUAUAGACCCGAAACCCGGUGAUCUAGCCAUGGGCAGGUUGAAGGUUGGGUAACACUAACUGGAGGACCGAACCGACUAAUGUUGAAAAAUUAGCGGAUGACUUGUGGCUGGGGGUGAAAGGCCAAUCAAACCGGGAGAUAGCUGGUUCUCCCCGAAAGCUAUUUAGGUAGCGCCUCGUGAACUCAUCUUCGGGGGUAGAGCACUGUUUCGGCUAGGGGGUCAUCCCGACUUACCAACCCGAUGCAAACUACGAAUACCGAAGAAUGUUAUCACGGGAGACACACGGCGGGUGCUAACGUCCGUCGUGAAGAGGGAAACAACCCAGACCGCCAGCUAAGGUCCCAAAGUCAUGGUUAAGUGGGAAACGAUGUGGGAAGGCACAGACAGCCAGGAUGUUGGCUUAGAAGCAGCCAUCAUUUAAAGAAAGCGUAAUAGCUCACUGGUCGAGUCGGCCUGCGCGGAAGAUGUAACGGGGCUAAACCAUGCACCGAAGCUGCGGCAGCGACACUAUGUGUUGUUGGGUAGGGGAGCGUUCUGUAAGCCUGCGAAGGUGACCUGUGAGGGUUGCUGGAGGUAUCAGAAGUGCGAAUGCUGACAUAAGUAACGAUAAAGCGGGUGAAAAGCCCGCUCGCCGGAAGACCAAGGGUUCCUGUCCAACGUUAAUCGGGGCAGGGUGAGUCGACCCCUAAGGCGAGGCCGAAAGGCGUAGUCGAUGGGAAACAGGUUAAUAUUCCUGUACUUGGUGUUACUGCGAAGGGGGGACGGAGAAGGCUAUGUUAGCCGGGCGACGGUUGUCCCGGUUUAAGCAUGUAGGCUGGUUAUCCAGGCAAAUCCGGAUAAUCAAGGCUGAGGUGUGAUGACGAGGCACUACGGUGCUGAAGUAACAAAUGCCCUGCUUCCAGGAAAAGCCUCUAAGCAUCAGGUAACAUCAAAUCGUACCCCAAACCGACACAGGUGGUCAGGUAGAGAAUACCAAGGCGCUUGAGAGAACUCGGGUGAAGGAACUAGGCAAAAUGGUGCCGUAACUUCGGGAGAAGGCACGCUGGUGUGUAGGUGAAGCCCCUGCGGGUGGAGCUGAGACCAGUCGAAGAUACCAGCUGGCUGCAACUGUUUAUUAAAAACACAGCACUGUGCAAACACGAAAGUGGACGUAUACGGUGUGACGCCUGCCCGGUGCCGGAAGGUUAAUUGAUGGGGUUAUCCGUAAGGAGAAGCUCUUGAUCGAAGCCCCGGUAAACGGCGGCCGUAACUAUAACGGUCCUAAGGUAGCGAAAUUCCUUGUCGGGUAAGUUCCGACCUGCACGAAUGGCGUAAUGAUGGCCAGGCUGUCUCCACCCGAGACUCAGUGAAAUUGAACUCGCUGUGAAGAUGCAGUGUACCCGCGGCAAGACGGAAAGACCCCGUGAACCUUUACUAUAGCUUGACACUGAACAUUGAGCCUUGAUGUGUAGGAUAGGUGGGAGGCUUUGAAGCGUGGACGCCAGUCUGCGUGGAGCCAACCUUGAAAUACCACCCUUUAAUGUUUGAUGUUCUAACGUUGGCCCCU
rnacentral:rRNA from 1 species